GAAGGCGAUUAGUUUAAGAGAUUAAUUGAUUGACGAUAAUCACAGAAGAAGCACCGGCUAACUCCGUGCCAGCAGCCGCGGUAAUACGGAGGGUGCGAGCGUUAAUCGGAAUGACUGGGCGUAAAGGGCACGCAGGUGGUGACUUAAGUGAGGUGUGAAAUCCCCGGGCUUAACCUGGGAACAGCAUUUCAGACUGGGUGACUAGAGUACUUUAGGGAGGGGUAGAAUUCCACGUGUAGCGGUGAAAUGCGUAGAGAUGUGGAGGAAUACCGAAGGCGACAGGCAGCCCCUUGGGAAGAUACUGACGCUCGAGUGCGAAAGCGUGGGGAGCAAACAGGAUUAGAUACCCUGGUAGUCCACGCUGUAAACGAUGUCGAUUUGGGGAUUGGGUGAACACUUGGUGCCCGAA
rnacentral:rRNA from 1 species